rnacentral:rRNA from 1 species
AGAGUUUGAUUAUGGCUCANNGUGAACGCUGGCGGCAGGCCUAACACAUGCAAGUCGAGCGGCAGCACGGUAGCAAUACUGGUGGCGAGCGGCGGACGGGUGAGGAAUACAUCGGAAUCUGCCUUAUUGUGGGGGAUAACGUAGGGAAACUUACGCUAAUACCGCAUAAGACCGAAAGGUGAAAGUGGGGGACCGCAAGGCCUCACGCGAUAAGAUGAGCCGAUGUCGGAUUAGCUAGUUGGUGAGGUAAUGGCUCACCAAGGCGACGAUCCGUAGCUGGUCUGAGAGGAUGAUCAGCCACACUGGAACUGAGACACGGUCCAGACUCCUACGGGAGGCAGCAGUGGGGAAUAUUGGACAAUGGGCGCAAGCCUGAUCCAGCCAUGCCGCGUGGGUGAAGAAGGCCUUCGGGUUGUAAAGCCCUUUUGUUGGGGAAGAAAUCGUACGGUUGAAUAUUCCGUGCGGAUGACGGUACCCAAAGAAUAAGCACCGGCUAACUUCGUGCCAGCAGCCGCGGUAAUACGAAGGGUGCAAGCGUUACUCGGAAUUACUGGGCGUAAAGCGUGCGUAGGCGGUUUGUUAAGUCUGUCGUGAAAGCCCUGGGCUUAACCUGGGAAUUGCGAUGGAUACUGGCAAGCUAGAGUACGGUAGAG